rnacentral:rRNA from 1 species
UACGGAGGAUCCGAGCGUUAUCCGGAUUUAUUGGGUUUAAAGGGUGCGCAGGCGGGAGAUUAAGUCGGCGGUGAAAUUUUGCAGCUCAACUGUAAAAGUGCCUUCGAAACUGGUUUCCUUGAGUGUAGAUGAAGUAGGCGGAAUUUGUGGUGUAGCGGUGAAAUGCAUAGAUAUCACGAGGAACUCCGAUUGCGCAGGCAGCUUACUAAACCACUACUGACGCUCAUGCACGAAGGCGUGGGGAUCAAACAGGAUUAGAUACCCU